GAUCCCUGUAUUUGAGCAUAGAGAUAGAGUCAUGUAUAUUGAGAUGCAUGUGUGCUAUUAGAUGCAUCUCUAGCCUUGAUCGAAGAGAUGAUCAAGAUGAGAUCUCCACAAGAUUGACAUGACUUUCAUAUAUGGCGAUAGCCUAUAUAAUUAGCUAUCUUUUGAUUGAUUGACGGUGAUAAUCAUGUGACCAACAAUCAUUGAUGCAUCACAAAAUGUGCUCAUAUCAUACAUGCUAGGACUGUUAACCUAAAAAUGCUGUGAUUGAUCUUGAUUCUCAUUGCUAUGCGAGGUGGCCACUGCAGUGGGUGACUACAGUGCCCUUAAUACUCUUCACUGUGUGACAAAGCUAAGAUAAGGGUAAUGCCAUGAAGAUGUGCAAUGAUUACAUAUUCCCUUCCCUAUCUCAUUUGUUGGCUUAAAAUUCAGUUGUUGAUACAUGUGUGCAAUGCUGGGCAUGCCAGAGCUUGAUACGAGUCGCUUUGAACUGAAUGCCUUUGACCUUAAGCAUCGACAUAGACUAAGAGAUCGAGAUCUUAACUAUUCGAUCGUUUAUUUAGCCACUCGUAAUAUAAACUAGGCGAUUUGCAAAAAGGAGGGUUCAUCAUUCUAAUGAA